rnacentral:rRNA from 1 species
GGGUCAGUAGGUUGGUCGUGCCACCGGUACGUACUGGUCUCACUGAUUCCUCCUUCCCGAAGAACCGUAAUGCCAUUAAUUUGGUGUUGCGGGGAAACAGGACUGUUACUUUGAAAAAAUUAGAGUGUUUAAAGCAAGCUAACGCUUGAAUACACCAGCAUGGAAUAAUGAAAUAGGACGAUCGAUCCUAUUUUGUUGGUUUCUAGGAUUGGCGUA